rnacentral:rRNA from 1 species
UACGAAGGGGGCUAGCGUUGCUCGGAAUUACUGGGCGUAAAGGGAGCGUAGGCGGAUAGUUAAGUCAGAGGUGAAAGCCCAGGGCUCAACCUUGGAAUUGCCUUUGAUACUGGCUAUCUUGAGUAUGGGAGAGGUUAGCGGAACUCCGAGUGUAGAGGUGAAAUUCGUAGAUAUUCGGAAGAACACCAGUGGCGAAGGCGGCUAACUGGCCCAUUACUGACGCUGAGGCUCGAAAGCGUGGGGAGCAAACAG